rnacentral:ncRNA from 1 species
GAGUUUUAUUCUUGCUUAAAGCUGUUUAUUUUAACAUUAAUCUAUAUGUGAAUUUUUGUAUUUUUAAAAUUUCUUGAUGAAAUUUGUUGAAGGAUAAAUAUAUUAUGCAGUAGAUAAUAUUAUUAAUAUUAAGUUAAUUUAGAUUUGGUAAAUGUUAUAUAGAUUUGGUAAAAGUUGUGCCAGCAUCCGCGGUUAUACAACAAAGUCAAAUAAACAUUAUUAGCUUUAAAGUAAUUAACAUUUAAAUUUAUAAAUAGGAAUUGAAAUAUAUUUAAGGUGAAAUAUAUUAAUAUAUUUUAGAUUAUAUUUAUGUAGUGUGAUUAUUAUGAAAUUGAAUUUAUAAACUAGGAUUAGAUACCCUAUUAUUUUUAUUGUAAAAUUUGUAUAAGCUGGAGUAUUAAUAGUUAUGGUCUUGAAACUUAAAGAAUUUGGCGGUAUUAUAGUCUAUUUAGAGGAAUCUGUUAUAUAAUCGAUAGUCCACGUUGAACCUUACUUAUUUUAUUUUUUGUAUACCUCUGUUUAAGAAUAUACUUUUAGGUGAAUUUUCUAAAUAUAAGAGUAUUUAAAAUUUCAAGUCAAGGUGCAAUAAUAUAUAAGUUGAAUAAUGGAUUACAAUAAAUUUUAUUUAAAUGGAUUAUUAUUGAAAUAUGAUUAUGAAGGUGGAUUUAAUUGUAAUUUUAUGAAGAUUAUUAAAAUGAUUUGUAGCUCUAUAAUAUGUACACAUCGCCCGUCACUCUCGUUAUUAAGAUGAGAUAAGUCGUAACAAAGUAGAUGUAUCGGAAGAUGUAUCUAGAAAGUUAAAU